rnacentral:rRNA from 1 species
AUUGAACGCUGGCGGCAUGCCUUACACAUGCAAGUCGAACGGCAGCACGGGAGCAAUCCUGGUGGCGAGUGGCGAACGGGUGAGUCAAGUAUCGGAACGUGCCCAGUCGUGGGGGAUAACGUAGCGAAAGUUACGCUAAUACCGCAUACGAUCUAUGGAUGAAAGCGGGGGAUCGCAAGACCUCGCGCGAUUGUAGCGGCCGAUAUCAGAUUAGGUAGUUGGUGGGGUAAAGGCGCACCAAGCCGACGAUCUGUAGCUGUUCUGAGAGGACGACCAGCCACACUGGGACUGAGACACGGCCCAGACUCCUACGGGAGGCAGCAGUGGGGAAUUUUGGACAAUGGGCGAAAGCCUGAUCCAGCCACGCCGCGUGCAGGAUGAAGGCCUUCGGGUUGUAAACUGCUUUUGUACGGAACGAAAAGGUUUGGCCUAAUAAGCUGAGCUCAUGACGGUACCGUAAGAAUAAGCACCGGCUAACUACGUGCCAGCCGCCGCCGUAA